GGAUAAUAUGAAAAUCAGAAAUAUUAUGGGAGCAUAUAUAAUAUUUCACAAUAUGAUAAUAGAUGACGAACGAGAUGGAUACACUCAAUAUGAUGUAUCCGAUUUUGCACAUCCAGAAUCAACCAGUUUUUCACAAGUGGAUUUCACAUAUUCUACAGAUAUGCCUUCAAAUCUUGGUAAUACGAUGGCCACUCGAACCCAACUUCGUGAUCAGACUAAGAAUGAACAAUUGAAAAUUGAUUUAGUCGAACACAUAAGGCAAAAUUUUGGUCCGAAUCAAGCUUAAAUUUUAUUGUUAUUCAA
rnacentral:sRNA from 1 species